AUUCCUACGGGAGGCAGCAGUGGGGAAUAUUGGGCAAUGGGCGCAAGCCUGACCCAGCAACGCCGCGUGAAGGAAGAAGGCUUUCGGGUUGUAAACUUCUUUUAUCAGGGACGAAACAAAUGACGGUACCUGAUGAAUAAGCCACGGCUAACUACGUGCCAGCAGCCGCGGUAAUACGUAGGUGGCAAGCGUUAUCCGGAUUUACUGGGUGUAAAGGGCGUGUAGGCGGGCUUGCACGUCAGAUGUGAAAUUCC
rnacentral:rRNA from 1 species